GGAAUAGUAAUUUAGGAUGGAGGGAGUAGUAAGCAAUGUUCCCGUCGACUAUAACGCAAGUGAAGAGACAAUUUUUUUUUUUUGAAGUAGCAAGUGCAGAGACUUCAUUAAUCUCAAAUUAUAUGUACAUAGGUGUAAGUAUGUCUGCAUGCGCUACGUGCCGCUGUACAGUGUUUAUAAAAAGGCAGUGACUCAAAUCACCACAUCAGUGAAGAAUGAUCGCAAGCUAAUCAUUCAGCCAGAUCGGAUCUGCACAGCAGGAACUUCACCAUACAAAGAUUGUUCCAUUUCGAGAGCAGCAUGUGUAACCAACACAAGAAAAAAGUUCUCAUGAACGCACGGGACACGUAAGACAAAUGCGAAAUAACAAAACUUGAUCUGCCUUUUUAUUGGCUUUUCAUCACCUUUGUUCGGCAUGCGCCAUUCUGCAGGAAUGUUUUCCCAACCUUUUAUACAUGAUGGACCAUUCCUUGCUCUACGUCUGCUCAUGGAUCUUCUUUAUAAGAGAGUUGAGCUUUUGCCCACGUCCCCACUCCCCA
rnacentral:lncRNA from 1 species